ACAAUGCGAUCUCAGAUUUUUCAAACCACUUUUGAAAUCCGCUUUCAAGCCUUAACUUUUCUAAGCACCCCACCUGACCCCAUUACAAAAGCCGAAAGUCCUGACUUCUGUUCUUUGCAAUGGCCCUGGCAAGAAAAUUUCUGAUGCCGGAAAAUUUCAGCUGUAUUUCUGAAUUGCCUGGGUAUGGGGUUGACGCUACUUACCAGGUGAAAAUCCACCAAGUUGAGGGAAAGGAAAAAGAGGCAAAAAGCGAAGCAAGAAAAGUAAAUGCAAGAAAAUACAGAAAAAUUCGACGCUGAAGUCCCUGGUAAAUGAUGAGAAAAAUGCAAACAAAGUCUGAGAUCUUUUGAGUUCAAAAUAGGGGCAAUUUUGGAAAAAUGUGAUCUUCGGUGCAAUGUCCUUGAAAGUUUUAUUCUUUAGCUAUCGUUUUUCAAGCCAAAUUACAAGCUAAGAAAGUCCAUCGUUGACUUAUUCCUUCAUGACAAUCCAAAGUGAGGAUCAUGCUCAUAAGAAAUUCAUCAAAUCAUUUGUGAUCAUAAGGGUAUAACCCGUUUCCACAUGUUUAGCUAUCACUUCUGUCCAUACGUUACAAGCCUAGAAAGCUGGUAUGUUGACUAAGUUUUCUUGAAAAAUAAGGGUGACAAACUCUUUGCUUUCACUAAGAUGUGACAUUGAAUGGAUUACAUACAAUUGGGGCACAAAAAUGAGACAGAUUCUGACCUCUCAUUUUCCUUCAGCCACUUCCAAAUCAAAAAUAAAGUCACUUGAUUGGUCCUGAAAAAUGAGCCAACCAGAAGUGGUGACCCGUUACCCUAAACACCAAUGCUAAAAGUGAGGAAGAAAUCUUCUUGAAUUUGG
rnacentral:lncRNA from 1 species